rnacentral:rRNA from 1 species
AGCACUCCUACGGGAGGCAGCAGUGGGGAAUAUUGCACAAUGGGCGCAAGCCUGAUGCAGCCAUGCCGCGUGUAUGAAGAAGGCCUUCGGGUUGUAAAGUACUUUCAGCAGUGAGGAAGGUGGGUAUGUUAAUAGCAUACUCAUUUGACGUUAGCUGCAGAAGAAGCACCGGCUAACUCCGUGCCAGCAGCCGCGGUAAUACGGAGGGUGCGAGCGUUAAUCGGAAUUACUGGGCGUAAAGCGCAUGCAGGUGGUUUGUUAAGUCAGAUGUGAAAGCCCGGGGCUCAACCUCGGAAUUGCAUUUGAAACUGGCAAACUAGAGUACUGUAGAGGGGGUAGAAUUUCAGGUGUAGCGGUGAAAUGCGUAGAGAUCUGAAGGAAUACCGGUGGCGAAGGCGGCCCCCUGGACAGAUACUGACACUCAGAUGCGAAAGCGUGGGGAGCAAACAGGAUUAGAUACCAGGUAG